rnacentral:rRNA from 1 species
GAUGAACGCUGGCGGCGUGCCUAAUACAUGCAAGUCGAGCGAACGGACGAGAAGCUUGCUUCUCUGAUGUUAGCGGCGGACGGGUGAGUAACACGUGGAUAACCUACCUAUAAGACUGGGAUAACUUCGGGAAACCGGAGCUAAUACCGGAUAAUAUUUUGAACCGCAUGGUUCAAAAGUGAAAGACGGUCUUGCUGUCACUUAUAGAUGGAUCCGCGCUGCAUUAGCUAGUUGGUAAGGUAACGGCUUACCAAGGCAACGAUGCAUAGCCGACCUGAGAGGGUGAUCGGCCACACUGGAACUGAGACACGGUCCACACUCCUACGGGAGGCAGCAGUAGGGAAUCUGCCGGAAUGGGCGAAAGCCUGACGUAGCAACGCCGCGUGAGUGAUGAAGGUCUUCGGAUCGUAAAACUCUGUUAUUAGGGAAGAACAUAUGUGUAAGUAACUGUGCACAUCUUGACGGUACCUAAUCAGAAAGCCACGGCUAACUACGUG